UACGUAGGGUGCGAGCGUUGUCCGGAAUUAUUGGGCGUAAAGAGCUCGUAGGCGGUUUGUCGCGUCGGCCGUGGAAACCGGGGGCUUAACCCUCGGCGUGCGGUCGAUACGGGCAGACUUGAGUUCGGCAGGGGAGACUGGGAUUCCUGGUGUAGCGGUGGAAUGCGCAGAUAUCAGGAGGAACACCGGUGGCGAAGGCGGGUCUCUGGGCCGAUACUGACGCUGAGGAGCGAAAGCGUGGGGAGCGAACAGG
rnacentral:rRNA from 1 species